GAGGCCGGAGGCCAACGCCCGACAGCGCGUGUGCGCCCUCGGGCGCCCUUGGUG
rnacentral:sRNA from 1 species